UGGUGGCAUGGCCGCAUGGGCGUCGUCGCCCACAAGCUCCCAAGAACACAAGCGCACCGCGGUGCCCGUCGCCGACGAGAGUUCCGUCGUCGGUCGAACGAUCCCAUCGAAUCCAGGAACGUUACUCCUGGUUCAGGAUCCGUCCAUGGGAGACUCCGGAGGAUCUGUCUGCAGCUCGCUCCUCCAUGGCUUCCUCUUCUCCGUCUGCUCCGCCAUGUCACUGGCCUAGGAGAGGCUCCUAAGCUGGAGAUUUCCCCUCUUAUUCGGUCCAGAUGAACGUGGAUUUCAGGUAGAAAUUCCAUCUGCGGUUUGUUCUUCUUGGAGUCGCCGAGGGAGCCUAGGAAAAACGAAAUGCCUUCGCCUUUAGAUUGGGCGGCAGCACCAAUUACGGCCUUACCCAUAUGGCCGUCACCCCGCUCGACCUCGUCACCUGCACUACGCAGGUGAGGCUCUAGAAUUUUUGGGUGCGUGGGGUUUCUAUUGGGGCUAGGGUUCCUUCAAUUGUCUAAUCAGUGUUUAUGCAAUUUGGUGGGAUGACGAGGCGGCGAUUUAAGAUUGGCUGGUGGUAACUACAGUCCGAAUCGAUUCAUGGUCUUCGUGCUUUCUUUUGAAUUUCCAGUUAAAUUUGGAUGGAACUUGUAGAUCAAGAUAAAAACCAGUUCGAAUGAAGCAACGUGUGCAUCUUGAGUCUACUCUGUUUGAUCGAGAUGCUUUUUCUGCGCAUAUUUAGGUCUGCAGUAUGAAAUGCCUGGAAACGGAGUAAUUUCUAAAGAAAUUUUUCAGAGGACACAGUUUUCUGAGGGCAUACUCUACUUCUUUCAUCAUUUGAGUACAGUUAGCAUGAAAAAGCCAGAGCCUUCUUCCUUAAAGAUGCUACUUGGCUGUUCAUCAAAUUCGUGAUUCUUGGCUUCGAGUUGCCAUUAUUGCAAGUUUUAUGUUGGAAUUUGAUGCAAACUUACUGCAUUCUUCGUUUUGCCAAAAUGAUUGACCCAGAUAAGUACAAGAAUAUCUCUGCAUGGUUUACGGUUUUGUUAAAUGAGCAAUGCUUUAGAGGCUUUUUCAAAUUUGAAUUUUAUGAGUUCUUCAAGAAGUUAUCCUCGGAGUUUGCUGGACCAGAGCAUGCAUCGAAGUAUAAAACUAUAAAACUGUCAUUUAUCUUGUGGGAUCUGCUUCUGCUGAAAUAAUUGCUAAUGCCCCUUUUCCCCAUGGAGGCAGUGAAGAUCAGGAUCCAAACUCAACCAGGGUUUGCUAAAGGUUUGAGAGAUGGACUACCUAAGUUUGUUGCAUCAGAAGCUCUUCCAGGGUACGUUUGCUUUCAGCUAAGAAAUCAUACCUUCAACUGCAGAUUUGUUUGCUGUUGCAUUCAAAUUGCAGACUUCAUAAAGGACUAGUUCCACUAUGAGGACGUCAAAUUCCUUCUGAUGCAUGCACCAGGAAGCCAAUCUUCACAUGGAGAGGUACAGAAGUCUAAAGUCAGCUGAGGCUUUUAAAUGACAAAGCCCACACGUGGCAAUGAUGUAGAGCAGGAGGCCCACAGGAAAAAAAGAGAGGUUGACGACAAUAAUUAUGUAAGUUGGAUGCUCAUCAGUUCAUCCACAUAAAUUGCCGGAUGCUCAGAACUUGGACAUGACUCGGAGGGGACCAUCACCACUGGAUUGGGUUCUUUAAAUCUGACAGGAUCUAUGUGACCUUUGCUACAACGAUAGAUGCUACCAACAUUCACCAUAGAACAUGCAGCAUGAAGAUAAGAAAUCUCUUUUCUAUUCCUUGAAAUUCAAUGCCUAGAUUAUAUCAGUGUGCCUCUAGUUUUUUCCAAAAAAAAAAAAACAAAAAUCAAUCAAUAAUGCUAUGUUAAUUCUCCCACCUUCUCACCUCAUACCUUAUCCUUGGACCUCAAUUCCUUUCCCUGUCUUGCCAAAAAUUCAUUGUCAUGAAAACAACAGGAGGUAUGAUAGAGUAGCUUGUCCAAACCAACAACAUACUCAUCGUCGGCUACCCCGUCCCUCUGUUUUUCUUGGUACUUGUUGUAGUGGUCCAUCUCAAUUAUUAACUAUAUGAUCUUCUCCCAUCCUCUCUUUUAUUUGGCCGUGUGCAGUCGCUUUUUUCGACUGGAUCAAUCAUAUUUGAAUGUGGUUUAUCUGUAAUCAGUCGGCAGUUUUGGUCAGUCCGUUUUGAAAACACUACUUCUCCCGAAGCUUCAUGGAUUUAGACUUUUAGUGCUCAGCAGUAAUCUUAAUGAGUUAAACUGCAAAAUUUUUACCUGGAUGAACACUCAUCAAUCUGGUGGUAAAAACACUGCAGCUAGCAAAACUCCAUGCUUUUACAGUUAGGAACUGCAUUUUAUAUCGUUUGUUUGCGUAGAAGCUCGAGAUCAGUGGAGGACCACUGAGCCAUCAUGUCAUUGCUUCUUUCAAGUAAGCCCACUGCCUUUGUCUUUGUUUCAGCCUUCCAUCACGACGCAAGUGUAAACUAGAAGUGAUUCUGUAGGUAGGAGCCACCAGAUUACAUGUUUGAAUUAAUUUGUGGAAAAGCAAAAGAAUAUCUCCAUAGGAAAAUGAUAUGUGAAAACUUUUACUCUUCUGUUUGGAUAAAUAGUAACUAAUAUAGCAUUUCCUCGUGGCGUUUUAUUCAGUG